GGGGAAUUAGCUCAAAUGGUAGAGCGCCCGCUUUGCAUGCGGGAGGCAGUGGGAUCAAUGCCCACAUUCUCCA